AGUGAACGCUGGCGGCAGGCCUAACACAUGCAAGUCGAGCGGCAGCGGGUUCCCGCGAGGGGAUGCCGGCGAGCGGCGGACGGGUGAGGAACACAUCGGAAUCUGCCUGGUUGUGGGGGAUAACGUAGGGAGACUUACGCUAAUACCGCAUGAGACCCUGAGUCGACGGACUGGGGGUGAAAGUGAGGGACCUUCGGGCCUCACGCGACCAGAUGAGCCGAUGUCGGAUAGCUAGUUGGCGGGGUAACGGCCCGCCAAGGCGACGAUCCGUAGCUGGUCUGAGAGGAUGAUCAGCCACACUGGGACUGAGACACGGCCCAGACUCCUACGGGAGGCAGCAGUGGGGAAUCUUGGACAAUGGGCGCAAGCCUGAUCCAGCCAUGCCGCGUGGGUG
rnacentral:rRNA from 1 species